rnacentral:lncRNA from 1 species
AUUUGAACUCCCUUCCUACUUAGGAGUCUCGCUUUCUUUUUGAAUCUAGAUGUCAGGCUGCGAUCCAUUCCCCCCACCACCACCAUCUCCAUCAUAGAAACUGAAAAGCCACAUAUUUGUUUUCCCAGACUCCCUUGAAGCUAUGGAGACAGCAUUGUGACCUAGGCCCAGCCAAUCAGAUGUGCCCAUCCCCAACUUUCAAUCUGAGCUACCAAUGCAAAGAAGCAGGGUGGGUAGGGAUCCAUCCUGGUGCUGAGCAGAGGCCACAGUGGCAGCCACAGGGAUUGCUAAGGGCAGUGGCACCAGGCCUGCGAUUGGGGUUUACAGUUGUUCAACAGCAGUGACAGCAGUGUCUACGCCAGACCGGUUUUGUGAUGUCAUUCUAUCAUGAUCUUGGACUCUGCCUAGCCUAACUUACUCCUGUCCCAUUUUCCAAAAGUGGCUUUGCAGCCUUCUUGGCAAUUCUAUGAAACAGUCAAUAUUCUUCCACACUGAAAGGGCAGACUGAACCAGUAGGCAAGCAUGUGCAGACCUUUCUCUCUGCGGGUCAACCCCGACCUGGUCACCCUGAGAGCGGUUCACUUUCACCCUGGCGUGCGUGCAACUGGGAUGUCAGCUCUCUCCGUGGCGAGCAAAGGAAAAUACACGGAAGAUUACAGAGGGGAGAUGUGGAAGGGGUUCGGCAGGGCGCUCCUCAGAGGACACUGCUUCCACCCCUCUUUCCAUGUUUCUCUUCUCCAGAGUCCCUGCACCCCCUCACCCUCCUGGCAUUCCCUAGAACCUGCUUUUUCUGACCCAACUUCACGUGGUGCACAAUAGUGAGGAUUUUCCCUCAAGACCCCAACUUUUUCGCUCUUUGAUGGUACAGAGCAAUUCAACCUCAUCCUUGUGCCUUGUUAUCAGUGUGCCCAGCAAUCAAAGAGCCACCCUUAGAAGGCAGAGGCGGUUAUAAAUAUGACAUCAAACUCUCCUUCUCCCCUCCCAAACAUUUCUCUUCUCACUUGUUUUAAUACAAGAUAAAUCCUGCAACUUCCCAGAGUUCAAAGGUUUUAAAUGUAAAUAGACCAAAGUGAAUUUUUUGCAAAUUGUAAUCAAUUAUCUGUAAACAAAUAAUGCUGACCAUCCCAUCCAUCUCUAAUCCAGGUCCUUCUCCAUGUUCCUCAUCCCAGUGUGUGGCAUCUGUAGCCACGGAGCAGGACACACCCAUUUGGAAUCAUCCUGAUGCUUCCUGUCCUUCGCUCCAUUUCCUCUCCAACCCAAGUGCCACUGAGUUUACCCCUAUAUGCUCAGAAUCCACUUUGUUCGAAAUCCGCCACUGCUACCGGUCUAAGUCAAUAUCGCCUCCCAUCUCCACUACUUCUCAGCCUCUUGUCUCUCCCAUCCACUCUUCCUCCCCUCCACUCUGUUGUCUAUAAAAUAAAAUUUUCUU